AACUUACUGGCUAUUUUUGUAUUAGUGAGGACAUCGAAAAGACAUAAGUGGAAAAAUUUCUAUCGUCUUGUGGGAGCCCUUUCUAUAACGGAUUUGUUCGGAAUUUUAGCAUCGACUCCUCUUGUCCUUGUGAACUAUUUAAACAACUUUAAAUGGGUCGGAGGACAAGCAACCUGUGACUACUUUGCUUUUAUCUUAAUAUUUGCUGGUUUAACAACUAUUUUCUUCAUUUCUUUUAUGUCAUUAGAACGUUUCCUUGCCGUCUGCUGUCCAUAUUUCUACAAACGGAACAUCAGCGAGCAAAGAGUCAACAUUAUCACAGCGCUUCUGUAUCUGUUGUCCAUAACGAUAGCCACUUUGCCGAUUUUAGGUUUUGGAGAAAACGUUAAUCAUUUUCCUGGUUCUUGGUGUUUCUUCAAUUUUUAUGGACAGUCUACGUUACAGUACAUUUAUUCGUACCUGUAUGCCUCUACGGGAAUCGCACUCAUAUUCAUGACGGCUACAUUCAAUAUCAUUUUAAUUGUGACACUUGCCAAAGAAAUUCGACGAAAAGAUUUGCAAGAGAGAAAGUGCAGUGUCAACAGUGCCAGCUCUAGGCGAAGGAGACGAAAUGACAUCUAUCUUAUGGUUUUCCUAUCGGCCAUCUUAAUCGUUUUUGGAAUUUGCUAUUCUCCUUUAAUGGUACGUAUGUUUCGAAAGAUGUUUGAUUAUGUCGUCCAAAAGAUGUUUUCAUGAGACAGCUCUGUUUAAUAGGUGAUAAAUAAAGUUAUGAAUUGAAUUAUGAAUAUAAAUAUUGAAAAAGUUUUAACCUUACGGGAUAAGAGUGUUCUAAAUUUUAAGCAUCAAACCUUCAGUACUUGUGUUUUGGAAGUUUUUAGAGUCGGUCGUUCUGCAUUAUGUUCUCACGACAUUUAAUUUUUCUUCUGCCACCAACAGGCUUCCAGGGCAUAUCUGAAGACUAUUACUCAUGUUAAAUAAAUUGGAAACUUGUGAACGGCCAAGAUUAAAGGUGCCAGUGCCACGAAAACGAUAGGCUAGAAAAACAAAAAAUGCGUGUUUCUUUUGGUAGUUUCAUAUCAUAUUUUAUCACGUCUAGAUAUUUGUGACGCACAAAAUAUAAAUGUUAAAAAAUUAAUUGAAGCAAGAAUCCAAAGAAAACAGAAUUGGGUUGAAAUAAUCUCCCUAGAUUAAACCAAAAGAUAAAAACCUAAGUCAAUCAAAAUUUUUCCCUCAAUUAAAUUCUACAUAAACACAAAUAAAGCUUCUUAUUUCAGGGCAUAAUUAUUCUUUGCAAGAAUGGCAAAAACACAGAGCAUUUUAAAGAUAGGUACAUGUAUACCCGGAUCGAUAUCAGAAUCGGGGGCAUUAAGAACGAAUCUUGUUGACUGUAUGACAUAUGCUUGUGUAUGCCUUUCUUCGUGCUAACGAUUAAAAAUUUCCUCCUCAGGGUUCAAAAACAUCAAAUUAAUCUGUGGGCUGAGUGAUGAAGACAAAUAAUAAAGCGUGCAUGCGGAGAAAAUUUACUUGAUCGUAAUGAGGGGGCAAUUGUCUUACCCAAUAUCUUAAGGGAGGAGUAAAAGAAGCUCUUGCUUUUCCUUUUUCUCAUAACUCUCAUCUCUUAAUUGAUUAGUCAGAUUAUAUGACUUUGUAUUAAAGAUAUCAAACCCAAAGACAAUGAUUUGAGAAGACAAUAACUUUGUCUUUGAAAAGUUUAAAAAAAUUUAUAUCCGGCCGGAAAAGGUGGCACCUUUGUGUAUAAAACAUAUUUCCAAUCUCAGACAUUCCUUCUCCCUUUUCUCAUAAAUAAUCGAGAUUAAUUAAUAAAUCAAUCAAAAUAUACACGCAUGUACAACUUUAUUCUAAGGAUCUUAAUUCCACUGAGGAACUUUAUUAAGUAAACGUUUUAAGAUAUCGAUGGCAGUAAUGUUGGCUUUAAAUAGUCCAAUAUUCAAAUCCAACGGGAAAACAAGGCAACUUUGCAAAUAUAUUUCUAUCUAAAACUUUCGCUUUUAUUUUCGUUAUCUCGUCUGUGUAUAUUGAUCUCAGUUUUUAGACCAUAAUUGAAAAAAAACUACAUGUUAUAAUUGUAUUUUGAAUAAGACCAUAGACCCCAGUGUCAUCUAUUAAAUUAAGAAAACGCUAAUUAGAAUCGAUCUUGCCAAAUAACUAACCGUUUCAUAGAAAAACUACACGAAACCCUGACUGAAAAAGUAAUUAGUCAUCACGCUAUCACGCUAUCUUCGGUCUUUGAUAUGUUUUCUUUCUGCUUCUCCAACCCUUUGU
rnacentral:misc_RNA from 1 species